rnacentral:rRNA from 1 species
GAUGAACGCUAGCGGCAGGCCUAACACAUGCAAGUCGAGGGAGAAGCCUUUCGGGGCAGAAACCGGCGCACGGGUGCGUAACGCGUAUGCAACCUACCUUUCACAGGGGGAUAGCCCGAAGAAAUUUGGAUUAAUACCCCAUAAUAUUGUUGGAUGGCAUCAUCUGGCAAUUAAAACUGAGGUGGUGAAAGAUGGGCAUGCGUCCUAUUAGCUAGUUGGAGUGGUAACGGCACCCCAAGGCUACGAUAGGUAGGGGUCCUGAGAGGGAGAUCCCCCACACUGGUACUGAGACAGGGACCAGACUCCUACGGGAGGCAGCAGUGAGGAAUAUUGGUCAAUGGUCGGAAGACUGAACCAGCCAUGCCGCGUGCAGGAAGAAUGCCUUAUGGGUUGUAAACUGCUUUUAUAUGGGAAGAAUAAGGUGUACGUGUACAUNGANGACGGUNCCA